rnacentral:ncRNA from 1 species
AAAUAUCUGCCACCGGGCAGAAAAAUGCGGAACGGCAUUCUCGUUUACAUCGUUAGGUCUGAGAAGAUGUAAACAGGGAUGCCGUUUUUUG